GGUUCAAUACUCAUGUGUAGUACUUUUUGUUUCUUAUUUUAUUUUAUCUUCUUUUAGCAUUUUUUUUAUUUUAGUAUUUUGUUAACAUUUUCUUUUUUAUGUUUAUUAUACUCAUAAUUUCAUUUGUUAAUAAUGCAUAGUUGUUGUAUUUUAAUUUAGUUCAAAACCAUUUUAAAACUAUAAAAAUCAUAUUUUUUUCUCGAUUUAAUAUCGAGCCCAUUUUUUUCACACCCUUGUAAGUCGAUUGCUUUUUAAGCAUCGCCAUCGACCUCACAUAGCUUAC
rnacentral:lncRNA from 1 species